rnacentral:rRNA from 1 species
AGCGAACGCUGGCGGCAUGCCUAACACAUGCAAGUCGAACGAGACCUUCGGGUCUAGUGGCGCACGGGUGCGUAACGCGUGGGAACCUGCCUUUAGGUUCGGAAUAACUCAGAGAAAUUUGAGCUAAUACCGGAUGAUGUCUUCGGACCAAAGAUUUAUCGCCUUUAGAUGGGCCCGCGUUGGAUUAGCUAGUUGGUGGGGUAAAGACCUACCAAGGCGACGAUCCAUAGCUGGUCUGAGAGGAUGAUCAGCCACACUGGGACUGAGACACGGCCCAGACUCCUACGGGAGGCAGCAGUGGGGAAUAUUGGACAAUGGGCGAAAGCCUGAUCCAGCAAUGCCGCGUGAGUGAUGAAGGCCUUAGGGUUGUAAAGCUCUUUUACCCGAGAUGAUAAUGACAGUAUCGGGAGAAUAAGCUCCGGCUAACUCCGUG